rnacentral:misc_RNA from 1 species
AUUUUUUUUAUUUAUAAUUGAUGGUGAACUAUCUUAAUUUUGAUCAACUUGCAUAAAAUUAGAGUUUUUAUAUUCAUGUGAAAUGGUGAUAGAAGUAAUUAAUAGGUGAAAAAGAAAGCAUAUAGUACUAUUUAGUCAACAAAUCUAGUGAUAACUAUUUGUUUUAACAACUGAGUCAGAGGGAUUAAUGUCAUGUGAUACAGACAAGGAACAUUACUGCACUGCUUAGAUUUCUUAAAGUUGUGUUUCCAACAGAAGAUCAAUUGUGAUGAAGAGUAAAAAUGUCCCAUGGUACUCUUCUAAGUUUGCAUAACAGAGAAGCUAAAGACAAAAAUGAGGGACAGAUUGAAUAUAGAAAUAAUGGAUUAUUAAUUUGUUUGAAAAGAAAAAAAAAAACA